UACAGAGGUCCCGAGCGUUGUUCGGAUUCACUGGGCGUAAAGGGUGCGUAGGUGGUGAGGUAAGUCGGAUGUGAAAUCUCCGAGCUCAACUCGGAAAUGGCAUUGGAAACUACCUUGCUCGAGGGUUGGAGGGGGGACUGGAAUACUUGGUAUAGCAGUGAAAUGCGUAGGUAUCAAGUGGAACACCAGUGGCGAAGGCGAGUCCCUGGACAACUCCUGACACUGAGGCACGAAAGCUAGGGGAGCAAACAGG
rnacentral:rRNA from 1 species